CAUGUCCUGGUAAUUUUUCAUUUUGGCCUAAUCUGUUAAGAUGGUUAGACAUUAAUUUCGUUUAGUGAUUUUGCCUUGGGAAACUACUGCAACCAUCUGUGUUUUGGGCAACAUAACUGAAGAGAAAAAGUUCUAUUAAAGCAAAUAUGCUUUAAAAUGAAAAAAUAAAAUAUAAAUAAAUAGGGACAGUGUGAAAUGGUACUUCGUACACCUAGAAAUAUUUUGAAAGCUAUUUGAGCAUGAUGUUUUUAUUUUGAAAAUAUCUAUAUGCAUGGAACAAGGAUAAGGCGAAUUUAUUGCUAACUUUUUUUACAAGUAACGAUCAAUUUAUUAUACAAUAUGCUAAAGGUGCAUUUCUAGUAAAACGAGGAUUGCAGAUUUUUUGCAAACUAAUUGUCAUUACAUGUGAAGUUACACUCAUAUUGGUAAUACUCUUUUUAUUUUUUUAUUUUAUUUUAUUUUAUUUUUUAAUUUUUUUUAUAAUUAAUAGGAAACUUUAUUCCCAAGAAUAGGCAAAGCCACAGGACGUAUACAAAGGAAUACCUACAUCUCUCUAAAGACAAAAGAAAAGCUAAUACAAAUUCAGGAAGUUAACAUAGUUGUAAUACUAGUCAGACUCUCUUACAUGGUUGUCAUAACCUCUAAAUAUAAGAUAAUUCAACCCUAAAACCCUGGUAACUUUAGAUCAAGAUAAUCCUUACCAUACACAUUAGCUUGAAUUAAAAAAAAAAAAACUUAGAGUAACCUAGUUAUAUUAGCACAGAAUAUUGCUUCCUUAUGCUGCUACAGUGCAUUGGACAGUACUCACAAUAUAUCCAUUUUUCUUAUUCCAAAAAAUUUGCAUUCUAUGGAUUUUAUGUUUCCUGUUAGUGAUUUUUCUAGCUUUGAGGUUCAAGUAACACUUCGAGAUUGGAGAACUGAAUCAAGGUUUAUGAAACUUCAAAGAGAUCAGUUUGAGUUAAAGCUAUUCCAAAGUGACCACUUUUAUUUUGUCCCAAUGAGGGCUGCUAACUAGGCAUCAGGUUCUGGGAGACAUUUGCAUCUGUGCAUAUGAGGCUUGAUCUUGACAGAAACCUUCAUCACUCAUGUUGGGUUAAAACUUUCUAUUUCCUUUUUAUUUUUUCAGUCUAGAAUUUAUUAGUUUGCAUAGAACUGUACAAAUAAUAUCCUGUAUUGGAGGAUUUAAAUUCUUGCAAAUUGAAAUUCAGUGCUGAAAAUUGAAGUAGUUCAUGGAAUUUUGAAAGUGAAAACCUAAAUACUUGAAAUUUACCUCCCGAAGUCUCUGGGAGCUAAUAAAAAAAAAAGUGAUUAGUCAGGAUGCCCGGGAUUAGUCCGGACCCCUGGGAUUAGUCCAGAUUCUGUUCCCCUACACCUGGUGCCAAUAAAAAAAAAAAAAGUUUUUGGGAGUGUCAAAGCUUCAGUUUUCAAUACCUAUAACUGAAAAGGUGAUUUUUUGUUCAGCAUUUUUUGGGUUCUAGAGGAUAUGUCCCCAAUGUCAUGCAUAUCUGUAAAGAAAAAGGGUAAAAGUGAAAAAAUCUUUCCUAGGAGUGAUG